UACGAAGGGUGCAAACGUUGCUCGGAAUUAUUGGGCGUAAAGCGCACGUAGGCGGCUCCGCAAGUUGGAUGUGAAAUCCCUCGGCUCAACCAAGGAAGUGCAUCCAAAACUGCGGAGCUUGAGUACUUAAGAGGAUCGCGGAAUUCCCGGUGUAGAGGUGAAAUGCGUAGAUAUCGAGAGGAACACCUGCGGCGAAGGCGGGUUGCUGGGCUGACACUGACGCUGAGGCGCGAAAGCCAGGGGAGCGAACGGG
rnacentral:rRNA from 1 species